AGAGUUUGAUCCUGGCUCAGAUUGAACGCUGGCGGCAUGCUUUACACAUGCAAGUCGAGCGGCAGCGCGGGGCAACCUGGCGGCGAGCGGCGAACGGGUGAGUAACGCAUCGGAACGUGUCCUUGAGUGGGGGAUAACCCAGCGAAAGUUGGGCUAAUACCGCAUAAGCUCUGAGGAGGAAAGCGGGGGACCGAAAGGCCUCGCGCUGGAGGAGCGGCCGAUGUCCGAUUAGCUAGUUGGUAGGGUAAAGGCCUACCAAGGCGACGAUCGGUAGCUGGUCUGAGAGGAUGAUCAGCCACACUGGGACUGAGACACGGCCCAGACUCCUACGGGAGGCAGCAGUGGGGAAUUUUGGACAAUGGGGGCAACCCUGAUCCAGCCAUGCCGCGUGAGUGAAGAAGGCCUUCGGGUUGUAAAGCUCUUUCGUAUAGAACGAAAUCGCCUGGGUGAAUAUCCCGGGUGGAUGACGGUACUGUAAGAAGAAGCACCGGCUAACUACGUGCCAGCAGCCGCGGUAAUACGUAGGGUGCGAGCGUUAAUCGGAAUUACUGGGCGUAAAGCGUGCGCAGGCGGUUACCUAAGCCAGGCGUGAAAUCCCCGGGCUUAACCUGGGAAUUGCGUUUGGGACUGGGUAGCUAGAGUGCGGCAGAGGGAGGUGGAAUUCCACGUGUAGCAGUGAAAUGCGUAGAGAUGUGGAGGAACACCGAUGGCGAAGGCAGCCUCCUGGGCCAGCACUGAC
rnacentral:rRNA from 1 species